GGAGGAGUGGCCGAGUGGCUGAUGGCGGUCGCCUCGAAAGCGACUAUCCCGCUUUGCGGGAUCGGGGGUUCAAAUCCUCCCUCCUCCG
rnacentral:tRNA from 1 species